UCCGCCCCGCCCCCUCCACCGGGCUGACCGGCCUGGGAUUCCUGCCUUCUAGGUCUAGGCCCGGUGAGAGACUCCACACAGCGG
ensembl:miRNA MIR8078 microRNA 8078